UACGGGGGGGGUAAGCGUUGUUCGGAAUUACUGGGCGUAAAGGGCUCGUAGGCGGCCAACUAAGUCAGACGUGAAAUCCCUCAGCUUAACUGGGGAACUGCGUCUGAUACUGGAUGGCUUGGAUUCGGGAGAGGAAUGCGGAAUUCCAGGUGUAGCGGUGAAAUGCGUAGAUAUCUGGAGGAACACCGGUGGCGAAGGCGGGUCUCUGGGCCGAUACUGACGCUGAGGAGCGAAAGCCAGGGGAGCAAACGGG
rnacentral:rRNA from 1 species